rnacentral:rRNA from 1 species
UACGUAGGGUGCAAGCGUUAUCCGGAAUUAUUGGGCGUAAAGAGCUCGUAGGCGGUUUGUCGCGUCUGCUGUGAAAACUGGAGGCUCAACCUCCAGCCUGGCAGUGGGUACGGGCAGACUAGAGUGCGGUAGGGGAGAUUGGAAUUCCUGGUGUAGCGGUGGAAUGCGCAGAUAUCAGGAGGAACACCGAUGGCGAAGGCAGAUCUCUGGGCCGUAACUGACGCUGAGGAGCGAAAGCAUGGGGAGCGAACAGG